rnacentral:rRNA from 1 species
UUCCUCCCGCUGGCGGCGUGCUUACCACCUGCAAGUCGAACGGAAAGGCCCUGCUUUUGUGGGGUGCUCGAGUGGCGAACGGGUGAGUAACACGUGAGUAACCUGCCCUUGACUUUGGGAUAACUUCAGGAAACUGGGGCUAAUACCGGAUAGGAGCUCCUGCUGCAUGGUGGGGGUUGGAAAGUUUCGGCGGUUGGGGAUGGACUCGCGGCUUAUCAGCUUGUUGGUGGGGUAGUGGCUUACCAAGGCUUUGACGGGUAGCCGGCCUGAGAGGGUGACCGGCCACAUUGGGACUGAGAUACGGCCCAGACUCCUACGGGAGGCAGCAGUGGGGAAUAUUGCACAAUGGGCGGAAGCCUGAUGCAGCAACGCCGCGUGCGGGAUGACGGCCUUCGGGUUGUAAACCGCUUUCGCCUGUGACGAAGCGUGAGUGACGGUAAUGGGUAAAGAAGCACCGGCUAACUACGUG